UGGGGAAUUUUGGACAAUGGGCGCAAGCCUGAUCCAGCCAUGCCGCGUGCGGGAAGAAGGCCUUCGGGUUGUAAACCGCUUUUGUCAGGGAAGAAAUCUUCUGAGUUAAUACCUCGGGAGGAUGACGGUACCUGAAGAAUAAGCACCGGCUAACUACGUGCCAGCAGCCGCGGUAAUACGUAGGGUGCAAGCGUUAAUCGGAAUUACUGGGCGUAAAGCGUGCGCAGGCGGUUUUGUAAGACAGAGGUGAAAUCCCCGGGCUCAACCUGGGAACUGCCUUUGUGACUGCAAGGCUUGAGUGCGGCAGAGGGGGAUGGAAUUCCGCGUGUAGCAGUGAAAUGCGUAGAUAUGCGGAGGAACACCGAUGGCGAAGGCAAUCCCCUGGGCCUGCACUGACGCUCAUGCACGAAAGCGUGGGGAGCAAACAGGAUUAGAUACCCUGGUAGUCCACGCCCUAAACGAUGUCAACUGGUUGUUGGGAAGGUUCCUUCUCAGUAACGUAGCUAACGCGUGAAGUUGACCGCCUGGGGAGUACGGCCGCAAGGUUGAAACUCAAAUGAAUUGACGGGGUCAUAGCUGUUUUCC
rnacentral:rRNA from 1 species